rnacentral:rRNA from 1 species
AACGAACGCUGGCGGCAGGCCUAACACAUGCAAGUCGAGCGCCCCGCAAGGGGAGCGGCGGACGGGUGAGUAACGCGUGGGAACGUACCCUUUGCUACGGAAUAGCCUCGGGAAACUGGGAGUAAUACCGUAUGUGUCCUUCGGGAGAAAGAUUUAUCGGCAUGGGAUCGGCCCGCGUUGGAUUAGGUAGUUGGUGGGGUAAUGGCCUACCAAGCCGACGAUCCAUAGCUGGUUUGAGAGGAUGAUCAGCCACACUGGGACUGAGACACGGCCCAGACUCCUACGGGAGGCAGCAGUGGGGAAUCUUAGACAAUGGGCGCAAGCCUGAUCUAGCCAUGCCGCGUGAGCGAUGAAGGCCUUAGGGUUGUAAAGCUCUUUCAGGGGGGAAGAUAAUGACUGUACCCCCAGAAGAAGCCCCGGCUAACUCCGUG